AUAGCUGCUGUGGUCAAAAAGGAG
rnacentral:piRNA from 1 species